AACGAACGCUGGCGGCGCGCCUAAUACAUGCAAGUCGAGCGAGAAGACGUAGCAAUACGUUUGUAAAGCGGCGAACGGGUGAGGAAUACAUGGGUAACCUACCCUCGAGUGGGAAUAACUAGCCGAAGGUUAGCUAAUACCGCGUACGCUCCUCGGACUUCGGUUCAGGGAGGAAAGCGAUACCGUGGGUAUCGCGCUCUUGGAUGGGCUCAUGUCCUAUCAGCUUGUUGGUGAGGUAACGGCUCACCAAGGCUUCGACGGGUAGCUGGUCUGAGAGGACGAUCAGCCACACUGGCACUGCGACACGGGCCAGACUCCUACGGGAGGCAGCAGUAAGGAAUAUUGCGCAAUGGGCGAAAGCCUGACGCAGCGACGCCGCGUGGGGGAUGAAGGUC
rnacentral:rRNA from 1 species